UACAGAGGUCUCAAGCGUUGUUCGGAUUCAUUGGGCGUAAAGGGUGCGUAGGUGGCGGGGCCAGUCAGGUGUGAAAUCCCGGGGCUUAACCCUGGAACUGCAUUUGAUACUGCCUUGCUGGAGAACUGGAGAGGAGACUGGAAUUUACGGUGUAGCAGUGAAAUGCGUAGAGAUCGUAAGGAAGACCAGUGGCGAAGGCGAGUCUCUGGACAGUUACUGACACUGAGGCACGAAAGCGUGGGGAGCAAACAGG
rnacentral:rRNA from 1 species